rnacentral:lncRNA from 1 species
CACUAAAAGAUCUUGGGACAUCUGACCAAAAAACCAGCAGAAGUCCUAUUUCCAAACCCCUUCGGAACUGAGGCGUUCUGUUCCUGGCAACUCCCUCUGGGCAAGGGGAAUGUCUAGAGGCAGACUCAUCUGUUGACCUCACUGCCAAAAUUUCUGGAAGCUGUAGAAGGGAAGUCUGGAGGGAGCACCAUAGCAUCCACUGUGGAUAUAUGUAUUGUGAAGAUUAUCUCCCAUAAAUACUUGUUAUCUUCAUUGGACUCAGUGGUUUGGAAUGUGGAAGAAAUUUCUGUUUAA